rnacentral:rRNA from 1 species
UACGUAGGGGGCAAGCGUUUGUCCGGAAUUAUUGGGCGUAAAGAGCUCGUAGGCGGUUUGUCGCGUCUGCUGUGAAAACGCGAGGCUCAACCUCGCGCCUGCAGUGGGUACGGGCAGACUGGAGUGCGGUAGGGGAGAUUGGAAUUCCUGGUGUAGCGGUGGAAUGCGCAGAUAUCAGGAGGAACACCGAUGGCGAAGGCAGAUCUCUGGGCCGUAACUGACGCUGAGGAGCGAAAGCGUGGGGAGCGAACAGG